CUAGCUGGUCUGAGAGGAUGACCAGCCACACUGGAACUGAGACACGGUCCAGACUCCUACGGGAGGCAGCAGUGGGGAAUAUUGCACAAUGGGCGCAAGCCUGAUGCAGCCAUGCCGCGUGUAUGAAGAAGGCCUUCGGGUUGUAAAGUACUUUCAGCGGGGAGGAAGGGAGUAAAGUUAAUACCUUUGCUCAUUGACGUUACCCGCAGAAGAAGCACCGGCUAACUCCGUGCCAGCAGCCGCGGUAAUACGGAGGGUGCAAGCGUUAAUCGGAAUUACUGGGCGUAAAGCGCACGCAGGCGGUUUGUUAAGUCAGAUGUGAAAUCCCCGGGCUCAACCUGGGAACUGCAUCUGAUACUGGCAAGCUUGAGUCUCGUAGAGGGGGGUAGAAUUCCAGGUGU
rnacentral:rRNA from 1 species